AGAUGUGAGGGCAAUCUGGCUGCGACAUCUGUCACCCCAUUGAUCACGGGGUUGAUUUGGAUGAUGUGACUGGCUAGGUAGAUGUCCCCAUCCUCCCUUACUGCUCUAUGUAUGUCCCUCCCAAAGCUGGAUGCUCCAUCUAAGGGGUCCCCAAUAAAAGAAGACCAUUCUUCAGUAAAGGGUAUAUGAGUAGCUGUGCUCUUCUGAUAGACCAUCCAAAACAAGCUCUAAAGAUUUGCCUCUUGCUUGGAAUGAGUCCCUUGACUCUCC
ensembl:misc_RNA 7SK 7SK RNA